rnacentral:lncRNA from 1 species
ACCUGAAAAGUUUGUCAAGGACGAAACCACAAGAAACUCUGAAAUAAAAGAGGCAAAGAACAUUCAGGGAGACUGAACAGAAGAUGCCAAAAACGUGGUAAGAAAACCCUGAGAAGAGUAGCAGAACCCAUAGAGAAGAAGUGUUUGGAAGAGGUGGUGGUGGUGAACAACUUUUAAUGGGAAUGAUCCAAGAAAAGAGAGAGGAAGAAAGAGGCACACAUACUGAGGAAAGGCCAUGUGUAGACACACAUAAAGGAGGUGUCCAUCUGCAAACCAAGAAGAGAGCCUUCACCAAAACCCUUCCAUGCUGGCACCUUGACCUUGAACUUAUGGCCUCCAGAAUUAAGAAGAUGAAUUGAAAUCGUAUUGAAGGGACUUGGAUGACUCCAUCAAAUGUCUCCUCAUCCCAGGGAUAAUGUUUAAAACGUCAUCUAAUCUGGACAAAAAUAUUUGAAAACAAACAAACAAAAAAGGCGGGGGGCACCAGUGAGCAUACGGAGACUGUAUUACGUAAGAAGAAAGGAAGAUGUGAAUAUAGUAGAGACUGGAGGAGUUCACAUUUCAAGUUUCAAGGAGACACAGAAGAUAGCCAAUUGUAGAAAAGAAGAAAAAACUUUAAAGGUAAAGAAUAAAAGAAACAUAUCUACCUAAAAGAAACAUAUCUACCUAUCAAUUAUCUAGAUAUAGGUAGAGGUAUACAGAGAUGGAGACAUAAAUACAUAUAUAUAUGUAGAUAUAUAGAUCCAUGUAAAGAGAGAUAUAGACACAGAAAAAAGAAAAAAUGAAGGAGUGAAGAAAGGCACCAUGGUGAAUUGGUUUGUAUUCUAUUAAUGACAAAUGUGAGGGAAGCUGAGACAGUGGCUAACUUUAUUUGAAAUUCUAUUUAAUUGAAUUGGACUUCUUUACUGGAUUUUUUUUAAAAGGAGCAUUCAUCAGUGUUAUACUUCCUGAAUUUUAUUGUGUUUGGUAAUAUCUUCGGCUAGGGAUAAAAGCUGGGUGCCAAACUUAGCUUCGAUAUCUGGCUGGCUCUUCUGAUACGAGAUAUUACUGAGGAGAACUCUAAGUGGUGAUUCUGUCUUACAUGUAGGCUUCCUUUUUGCUCUAGUUACCUACAGAAUUAUUUCUACUUCUGUAAUUUUAAUAUUAAAUAACUUGGCUAUUACUCAGAUUAAAAAAAAUUUCUUGAUCAGUAUGUGUGCUUAUUCCACCUAUGGAUUCAAAACUUUUUCCACACAGUAGGAUGACUAUAGUUAAAUUUUAUUGUAUAUUUCAAAAUAGCUACAGGAGUGGAUAUGGAAUGUUCCCAACAUAAACAAAUAAUAGAUAUUGAGGUGAUGGCCCAAUGACCCUGAAUUGGUCAUUACAUAUUCUACACUUGUAACAAAAUAUCGUAUGUACCUUAUACAAAAAUUAUGUGUUCAUAAAAAUGGAAACUAAAACAUUAACUAAAAAGAAAAACUAUUUUAAAAACUGUAUUCAUAUCGGGAAAAUGAUCCUAACCUUGAAGUUUCUGUGACCCAUUUCGUGUGCUUUCUGUUUAUCUCUUCACUAAUUUUUCCAUCAGGAUGGUAAUAGCAUAUUUUAA